rnacentral:ncRNA from 2 species
UAUCUUUGCCGUCGAUUUGGUGCCUGCGUUACGAGCAUGACCAGGCCAAAAGGGAAUACGGUGAAAAUCCGUAACAGUACCCGCUGCUGUGAUCUCCAUAUCAACGAACCGGACAACAGUCCUAUUGCCACUGGCGAAAGCCGGGAAGGCGUCCGGGUCGGGAGAGAGUCAGAAGACCUGCCAGAUCGUUUUCACGACU